rnacentral:piRNA from 1 species
UUGGAGAAUGUGUUUCCAGCUCACCUAAGU